AUGAUGCAUAACUUCAACAAAUGGUGCUAGAACAACUGGAUGUCUAUGUUCAAAAGAAUGAUGGAGGACCACUUCUUCACUCCAUACAUUGAAAACAUCCCUGAAAAUAUACCCAAGACCUAGAGUGCAUAACCUGAAUCUAUGAAGAAAUAGCUGAGAACCCCAAGUUGAAGGGCAUACUACAAGAUAAUGGCCCAUAUUCUUCAAAACGAUAAAGGUCAAUAAAACGUGGAAAAGGCUGAAGAAUCAUUUUGGAAUUAAGGAGACCCAGGGGAUGGGAGAGCCAAAUGCAGUACAUGAUGCUGGAUUCUACUCUGUUCCAGCAGAAAACUAGUUAUAGAUGAAAUUAUUUGGAAGACUCACACAAUUUAAAUAUGUACAAUAUAUUAGGUAAGGAUUGUGUCACUGUUAAAUUGCAAUUUUUAUCAUUGUAUUCUGGUCAGGAAAUGCCAAAAUUUAGUGUCAAUGGGUUUAAUAACUUCAACUUAUUUCAAAAUAAAGAGUUGCUAAAAGUCUUCAACCA